rnacentral:rRNA from 1 species
GCCCGGAUGUAACACAGCAACACCCUGCUCGCCAAAUAACUACGAGUGAAAACUUAAAACUUAAAGGACUUGACGGUACUUCACACCCAACCUAGAGGAGCCUGUCUAUUAACCGAUAAUCCACGAUUAACCCGACCGCUUCUAGCCACCCAGCCUAUAUACCACCGUCGCCAGCCUACCUUGUAAAAGAAACAAAGUAAGCUAAACAGUACUACACUAACACGACAGGUCAAGGUGUAACUAAUGAAACGGAUUAAGAUGGGCUACAUUCUCUAACCCAGAUUACACGAACAAGAUUAUGAAACUAAUCUUUAAAGGCGGAUUUAGCAGUAAGCUGAGAACAAAAUACUCACCUGAAACCAAUGCAAUGAAGUGCGU